rnacentral:rRNA from 1 species
UGGGUAACCUGCCUCAAAGAGGGGAAUAGCCUCCCCGAAAAGGGAGAUUAAUACCGCAUAAUAUGUUUAGGUCGCAUGACUUUAACAUCAAAGGAUUUUCUUUUAGAAAUUCCACUUUGAGAUGGACCCGCGGCGCAUUAGCUAGUUGGUGAGGUAACGGCUCACCAAGGCAACGAUGCGUAGCCGACCUGAGAGGGUGAUCGGCCACAUUGGAACUGAGACACGGUCCAGACUCCGUAGGACGG